rnacentral:rRNA from 1 species
AGCAGCCGCGGUAAUUCCAGCUCCAAUAGCGUAUAUUAAAGUUGUUGCAGUUAAAAAGCUCGUAGUUGAAUUUCGGGAUCAGUAGGUCGGUCAUGCCUCAGGUAUGUACUGGUCUCACUGGUUCCUCCUUCCUGAUGAACCGUAAUGCCAUUAAUUUGGUGUUGCGGGGAAACUGGACUGUUACUUUGAAAAAUUAGAGUGUUUAAAGCAGGCUAACGCUUGAAUACAUUAGCAUGGAAUAAUGAAAUAGGACGUUCGAUCCUAUUUUGUUGGUUUCUAGGAUUGACGUAAUGAUUAAUAGGGAUAGUUGGGGGCAUUAGUAUUCAAUUGUCAGAGGUGAAAUUCUUGGAUUUAUUGAAGACUAACUACUGCGAAAGCAUUUGCCAAGGAUGUUUUCAUUAAUCAAGAACGAAAGUUAGGGGAUCGAAGACGAUCAGAUACGUCGUAGUCUUAACCAUAAACUAUGCCGACUAGGAUCGGAUGAUGUUAUUUUUAAUGACUCAUUCGGCNCCGUUAAC